CGGGCCAAAGAGGGGGACCUUCGGGCCUCUCGCGUCAAGAUAUGCCUAGGUGGGAUUAGCUAGUUGGUGAGGUAAUGGCUCACCAAGGCGACGAUCCCUAGCUGGUCUGAGAGGAUGAUCAACCACACUGGAACUGAGACACGGUCCAGACUCCUACGGGAGGCAGCAGUGGGGAAUAUUGCACAAUGGGCGCAAGCCUGAUGCAGCCAUGCCGCGUGUAUGAAGAAGGCCUUCGGGUUGUAAAGUACUUUCAGUUGUGAGGAAGGGGGUGUCGUUAAUAGCGGCAUCUCUUGACGUUAGCAACAGAAGAAGCACCGGCUAACUCCGUGCCAGCAGCCGCGGUAAUACGGAGGGUGCGAGCGUUAAUCGGAAUUACUGGGCGUAAAGCGCAUGCAGGUGGUUCAUUAAGUCAGAUGUGAAAGCCCGGGGCUCAACCUCGGAACUGCAUUUGAAACUGGUGAACUAGAGUACU
rnacentral:rRNA from 1 species